UCCAGCCCUAGCUACAGGUUACUUGGCUUAGUCCUGAUCUUAAAGAGACCUGAGCCCUUGAAUCACCCACCGGCAAAGGCGGACGAUGCUUCCAACCCGCUGCUAACUGGGAGGGGAUUUGCGAGCUGGUUCCCCCCUCCCCCGCCUCCCAGCUGUUGGCAGAUGUGCUUUUGAACUCUCUCUCCCCUGGUUUCUCGACUCCCCCCUCCACUCCUCCUCUACAGAGGGGGAUUUUCCCCCCUAGCUCUCUCCCUCGCUUGCAAGACUCCAGAAGUCUUUUCUACCUUGGGAGGACUGGGACUUUUCUUGGACUGGGACUGUGAUCUGGAGCUAUGACUUGGACGUGGGACUCUGGAUCUUGGACUGCUUCUGGUAAGACUGCUCCUGGAUUUUCUCCCUUCAGCUUGGGUGAGUGAAAAGUUGACCCUCCUUUCCUGGCUUCUGGAGAGAUUAGUUCCCAAAAGGUCUCCCCUUCUUGGAGGAGGCCAUGUGGGUUUAUUGUUUAAUUCACCACCUUGUUUAAUUCACCACUGAGUCCUCUGGCUGAGGGGUUAACAAGCCCUGCUUGGGUUGAGUCAGGGACUGGAGCAACAUUAGGGUGAUAGGUUAGACAUUUUCUCUACCCUCUUUUACAUUCCUCUACUUUCACUUUUUCCACCUCUUUGUAAAUAAAAUUAUUGAAAGUCAAUUUGACUUGAGCUAUAAUAUUUUUAAGUCAGCAGCCACAGUAUUCUCUUAAAAUCCUCAUAUAUUUAGUCCAACCACAAAAUUUAAUUCCUUACAAAUGCUAAUACAAAGAUAAGCCCAAUAACCCUACCCUACAAUAUCAUUGCCAAGAGGUCCCUACCAACCCUAAUCUACAAGGUAAUCACAAAAGGGUAACCCCCAGAUUAACCUACAGUAAAUCUAAGGUAUAAUACAAAGGUGGCUUCACCACCCUGAGUUACGAUAUUCCCACUGCCUCUGAUCUACAAUGUCACCACAAAGAAGCCACCACUACAGCCAAUGUACACAGUCACCACCCAGAGGAUUACUACGAACCCUAACCUACAAUGCCAAUGCAAAGGUAACACCAUGGACCCUAACCUAUAAUGUCAAGACAACAACAACAACAAAAAUAAUAGCAUUUAUAUAUCACCUCCUAUGUGCCAGGCUUACUGUUAGCACUUUUAUUUUCUCACUUGAUCCUCACAACAAUCCCAGGAGGUAGUAUCUAUUUUUAAAAUUCUGACUUUCCCUCUUAGAAUCGAUACUGUUUUGGUUCCACAGUUAAAGAGCAAUAAGAGCUGGGCAAUGAGGGUUAAGUGACUCGCCCAGGGUCACACAACUAGAAAGUAUCUGAGACCACAUUUGAAUCCUGGACUUCCGAUCUCUAGGCCAGACUCUCUCUCCACUGACCCACCUAACUGCACCCCCUGUACCUACUAUGGAAGACACUGAGGAAAAUAGAGGCCAAAUGACUUGCCCAAGGUCACACACCUAGAGCUGAGCCAAGAUGUUCAAGUUUGAUUCUUGUUCAGUAGAAGCCAUGGAAAUACAGAGAAGCACCUUCAAGCAGAACAGGUCGGCGCUGCUUCAAACUGAGGUUCCAGAGCUGCUGGCAACCUGGUUAUGCCAUCUAGCUUGGCCAUGGAUCACACACACAUGCACACGUGCACACACAUGCAAAUAUACCUGUAAUUCUUUUGACUGA